rnacentral:tRNA from 1 species
GGAGGAUUCGCAUAGUGGCCUAGUGCGCACGCUUGGAAAGCGUGUUGGGAGCAAUCCCUCACGGGUUCAAAUCCCGUAUCCUCCGCCA